GGUCGGUUAGCUCAGUCGGUAGAGCGUGGUACUAAUAUGCCUUUGGUACAUGCCACGGUCGUGGGUUCGAGCCCCUCACGGACCA